rnacentral:rRNA from 1 species
UACGUAGGGGGCGAGCGUUGUCCGGAUUUAUUGGGCGUAAAGAGCUCGUAGGCGGCUCGGUAAGUCGGAUGUGAAACCUCCAGGCUCAACCUGGAGACGCCAUCUGAUACUGCCGUGGCUUGAGUCCGGUAGAGGGGCAGGGAAUUCCUGGUGUAGCGGUGAAGUGCGCAGAUAUCAGGAGGAACACCAGCGGCGAAGGCGCUGCUCUGGGCCGGUACUGACGCUGAGGAGCGAAAGCGUGGGGAGCGAACAGG